GGAGCUGAAGCAACAAUUUAUAAAGCAGCAAGAUGUGAAAGGUGUUGUGGUGGAUGGCUUCCCUCAGACAUUGGCCAGGUGUUAACGUUUGAGGAGCAGAUCGGCUCCCCAGAUCUUGUUGUCUUUUUGGCCUGCCCCAGCCAGAAGCUCCGGCAGAGGCUAGAGAAGCGUGCCCAGGAGCAAGGCCGCCUGGACGACAACCCCCAUGCCAUUGGGCGCAGGCUGGAGACAUUCAAGCAGAAUGUGCCACUGAUAGUGAAGUAUUAUCAAGAAAAGGGAACCAUUGUCCAGUUUGCUGCAGACAGAGAGGAGGAGAUUUUUGCAGACAUUGGCUCCUGUGUUCAGCAGCAGCUGCACCUGGAAAGGAAGGAGUUUCCAGAGUCUCCAUUGCUGGCACCGUUGGACAAUCUGUUUAGCCCCAGCCAAGACUCUCCAAAGGAAGAACAGAA